rnacentral:ncRNA from 1 species
GCCCGAAACGGCAAACCCAUCGCGAGAUGGGGGCGCAAAGUCAUGGACCUGCGGGCGCCCGCAGGCCGCCAGACUGCCGAAG